CCUACGGGGGGCUGCAGUGGGGAAUAUUGGACAAUGGGCGAAAGCCUGAUCCAGCCAUGCCGCGUGUGUGAAGAAGGCCUUCGGGUUGUAAAGCACUUUCAGUGGGGAAGAAAGCCUUGGGGCUAAUACCCUCGAGGAAGGACAUCACCCACAGAAGAAGCACCGGCUAACUCCGUGCCAGCAGCCGCGGUAAUACGGAGGGUGCGAGCGGUAAUCGGAAUUACUGGGCGUAAAGCGCGCGUAGGCGGUCUGAUAAGCCGGUUGUGAAAGCCCCGGGCUCAACCUGGGAACGGCAUCCGGAACUGUCAGGCUAGAGUGCAGGAGAGGAAGGUAGAAUUCCCGGUGUAGCGGUGAAAUGCGUAGAGAUCGGGAGGAAUACCAGUGGCGAAGGCGGCCUUCUGGACUGACACUGACGCUGAGGUGCGAAAGCGUGGGUAGCAAACAGGAUUAGAUACCCCGGUAGUC
rnacentral:rRNA from 1 species